GGUGGUUAAAAGGUAAGCGACCCAAGUCGCAUCCGUUUCCUCCUCGCCUUCUUCCCCUCUUCUUCUUCCUCUUCUUCUUCUUCAUCCUCCCCAUUCUAUUGUCUAUCUUUCUAUUGAAGAGCGCACACGAAAUCGACCGCCAUAGCGAAACCAUCUCCGCCGCAGCCGAUCCCCCAAGAAUUGGAUUCCAAGGGAUCCCUCGGCGCCCUCUCUGUGGCAAUUCUCACAGUUCUCUCGAUCCCGUGCAUCAUCCCGCAUCCGCCGAUCCCUUUCCCGCCACCAUCAGGUAUCAUUUGAAUCUCAUAUGAUGGGGGCAACUUCUGUCGUAACAAGAAUUUUUCUUGAUGCGAUUCUAGAAUCUAGGUUAUUAAUCAGCAUAUCUUUUCUUAAGGAGAAGAUGCGUAUAUGGUGAGGAAAAUCCACUUAUAUCAGGACAAGGCAACAGGGUAUUAUGAAUCAGUGAUGAAAUCAAUGCCUCCUGCUGCCAAUUUGUUGAAGGAAGAUUUGAGUGUAGAAGAGUUCCAUUCUGUCCUCUACAUGACAUCUUUUUUAUGGAAUGGAGGCCACAAUUGAGUAUCACUUGUAGCCUCGUCAUGCAGAUGGAGGGAUAACAAGUCCAACUGAGAAAGGGAUCAAGCCUGUUGAACCAGAUGGAUGUAUCAAAAUUUUAUCAGCAUUGCUCGAAUUCAAUUGGUACUGAGGUGAGUGCAGCAAUGAAAGAAUUCUGCAUCAGUGGGAAAUAUGCUGAAAGCAAUUAAUGAUUCGUCUCUUUCAUUAGUUUCUAUAGUUAAAGCUCCAAACGUUUUGCAGGAUUCUCACCUAUUGCCUGUUGCAUUGAAAUAUGUAAAUGCAUAUCUAGGGUAUAUUCAAAUAGAAUACAGAUGGCGAUUAAGAAUUUGGUUCAGUUUGCACUAUAAGGAAUUGAAAAUUUGCUAAUAUUCAAUAGACUCAAGAAUUGCUUCAAAAUUAUCACAGGGCUCAAAUUCCUUCAAAAGCAACUAUCAAGUUAGAUUUGCUGGUAGCAUACAACUCAAUUCUUAAAGAUAUCAAGAUACAACUCACUGCUAAGAAGGUAUUUGACUUCUUUUCAAAAUUCAAAUAAUUGAAGAACUCUAGGUUUGCAGAUGACCUCUUACUCUUUUGUGAUGAGAAUUUAACUCACUCAGGAUUUUGCUAUUCAAAUCAGAAGCUUUGUGGGUUUGUUGGAUUGUCAGAAUAUAGUUAAAGGAUCAAUUUAUAUAGAAUGUUAAAACUAUUUUAUGCCGGUCUACAUGUGUCUUGCUAGUGUUGCUUUGUCAGGGUAAACAGUUGGAGUCAUAUGGUCUAAUUAUAAAUAAAUAUUGCCUCUGUUUUGCGUAUGUAUGUUUCUCUUGCAACAGAUGGCUAAUCUGACAAACAUUCAAGAAUGCUGGAAUAGGGGUUUGACUGUUCUACAAUAAGGUCCUAGCAUUGGAAACAAAAAUGAGCUGAUAAGUCACAUUCGCAGAUGACAGCUCCUGCAUGUUCUGAAGACAACAAGAAGAAUGUAGUAACACGAAGACAUGAACACAUUGAGGAGUGAAACAGGAGCGGAAAAGGAAGAAGUUCGACAGCAGAUUAAAGAUUAUUAAACAGGCCAGAACUGAUUCCUCAUCAGCUCUCAGAUCUAUACACACAUACCUCAGAUUAUACAAAACACGAAUCUACCCCCAUUACCCCACUGUUGUCAGCCUACCUACACUCGUCAAGGACGGGCCUAUUUCAUCCUUGCAUCUCCCGUUGGGUCUGUCAUUUUUUGGCCGCCCAACUCCUCUACCUCUGUACUUACGAAUGCCCACACAUUUUUUACAGACAAAUUUUGCAGGCACCUCCUCAAAAUCAUCAACCCCUGCACACCUCGUGUGCUGCCACACUCCACAGGCGUCGCAGGCCAUCAUCCUCUCUCCAUCAUCGUCUUUGGCACCGCAGACACAGUCGACGAUCCAGUUAUCGACUCCCCGUUCCUUCCUGAACAGUCCCAGACUUUGGUCGAUCCCAAGGAACCUUCCUCUCAACCGAGCUACCCCGUAGGAGCCGAACAAGGACUUGACGGGAGUCACGUCACUGGCUUCUUCAUGGUCGAGUAGCUGCUCAGCUUGAAACCUCUGGAAUACCAAGUAGGUCUCUUGGAAUGUUUUCGUCACCUGCAGCUUGAGAUCGGCGAUGGUGGCACCUGCUGAUAGAAUCAGGAGUUCCGGUGGGGGAGCCGUGUAGUCCUCUGGAUGGUCGACCAACUUGACGUGGCACCAAAGAGCCGUCGCAGAUGAUGGAUUUGGAGGUGACAGAUUCCCUCAAGGCACUUGGCUUGUAGGGUUGCAUGGAGGCCGGGUUGAGCAGGGCAUCGUAAAGGAAUUUAAGGUCAUGGAUGAGAUGGUCAGCGGAUGGUCUCGGCAAACACUGGGCGGAAGAUUGCUGGUUAUCAGCUGCUUCAAGACUGAAAUUUAAAAUAUGCGUUGUAGCGGGCAGUGACUACCAUUCCAUCGCCCACGGUCUUACCGACCACUCCCCUGAGGCAGCAGUCGAGCAGCUCCCGCGGCUCGAUGGCGUAGCAUGCGGCCCCUCGAAGAGCGCGCCAGGUCACCCACCGGGACCCACCAACAGCUCGUAGAACCUUGACAAUGAGCUCUUCCGCCGGUUGUAAGCCAUCCCUUGUCAAUGCACACAGCACUCCAGCCACUGGUUUCUUCCCUGCAGGACUUUCAGACUUAGCCCGCUCCGGGGCUUCGUGGAGUUGAUGCAACACACAGCGGAAAAGGUCUCUGACAGUCACCGGUUGCUGAUCCGAGAGCGACCUGUACAAGUCGAUCGUGUUCUGGAGGGGAGUCCGAGGGUAGCCGCCGCGGGAGAAAAAGAUGGAGAGCGGCACCUUGGACAGGGUGUCCACGGCCUUGUGGUAGGACUCGGCGGUGAGGGCAAAGCUACCAGCUCCAAACUUGUACCCCCAAUUCCCGUACCAGGGAUGGCCUGCAAUGACGGCGUGGAGGAGGCGGUAGUCCAUUCCGUGUUUCUUGGAUAUGUCCAUGACGCUGACCUUCCUGUCAUAAACAGAAACAUCCACCUGGUCCAACCAUGCCUGAAACAACUCGACGAACCUGACGCGGAGCAUCUGACACAGCCGGUCCCAAAAGCUCAUAAUAUCACAUCCUGUCAAGUAUUUAGAACCACCCUCUCUGCCGUUUACUCGUAGAAGAUGGCCGAAUCCGUUGGCAUGCACAAUUCCAUGCAGCAAAUUAGUAGAAUCCUCCAACUGCAGGUAUGCCCGAUCCUCAAAAGUGUCAUCGGUCGUCAUCUCACAAUUGCAUGAGUAACACCUGCAAAACAAAAGCGUCCCGAUCAUGUUAGUCAUAGGUACAUAAUAAAAGCUUUGCAUUUUUCAGUACAUAGAAA